AUGCAGAUGAUGCUGCUGCUGCAGCACAGCCUGUUUUCAGUCGUGCUGCGGUUCCGGCGGCUGCGGAAGAUCUGCCGGAGGUUGGGGAAGAAGAGGAGAGCGCCGAGCGCCAGGAGGAAGAAGGGGAGAGGUGAGCAGCCCCAGUGCCAGCGCUGAGCAGCCUGCAAGGGGUCGGCCCCCCAGUGUGGGGCUGGGCGGGGGUCCCGGCCGUUCACACGCUCUUGCUUUGGCAGAUGCUUGCGGGAAGGACGGAGCAGCAGGGAUGCCGUCGCCGACCUGGGAGUUGCGGACGAGCCCACGGGAAAGGAGCAGGAAGCCACCCCGGGCCCCGCUGGCAUCCAUGCUGUCCCUGGGCUCCCUCGAUGAAUCUUCUUCCUCCUCCUGUUCCUCCCUCUACUCCUUCCCAGAGCCCUGGCCCGGUGCACUGUCAGAGUUGGCUGCCCGUGCCCCUCGUGCCGCCCCAGAGCCACGAGAGCCACAACCAGGGCCAGAGCCACAGCAAGAACCAGAGCCAGAGCCAGAGGCAGAGCCAGAGGAAGAGCUGGAGCCACAACCAGAGUCAGAGGCAGCGUCAGAGGAAGAGCCAGAGGAAGAGCCUGAGGCUGAGCCAUCCCUGUGCCCCAGCUCGGAGUCCCCGGCUCUGCUGCCAGCAGCCCCCAGCACCCCCUAUUC
ensembl:lncRNA